UGCGAUGAUUGCACAGUGCACAAUACAUCCGCAGAUUUGCGGACUGGAGAAGGGGAAGAAGAAAAAGCUGGCAUAUACGACACGAGUAUAUGUUUCAUCUCCGUUAUUACGUACAAUAGAUAUAUAUACUCUACUAUUACGCGAUCGCAGAAAGUCCACGCAGAAUGCCGCUGAUUGUGUCAACCAUCGACGUCGGCAGUAGACAGUUCCUCAUUCGUGCCUCUCUCUUUCUCCUCCUCUCCAUCUUAAAUCUCCCACUUAAUCGUCGCUACCACCACCAUCUCGGCACGACGUGAUGGCAUUUGACUCAUCCGCUCUUGUCUUGGCUAACCUGACUUUAUGCUCCAAAGGCUACGCGAUAGUUCAAUCGUCGCGCCAGGGCUGCCAGAACAGUGCAGCUAGUAACGCACGUACGCGAGCUCGACUCUCGACUGUCGACACCGAGUGCAUCGAGAUGGCACCGGCCCUCAGCAAAUUCGCCACCAGACGUACCCUGGCCGGCGCGGUCGCGGUCAGCACGCUUAUCUGGAUACUAAGGAAUCGUAGCAGGUGGACGAGUAAGAAGACCAAGAACCAAUGGCCUAUUAACAAUGACAUUCAGUACAUUAUCAAGGAGCAAAAAUCAAAGAGUCCCAAGGCACAGGUCAAUGCCGUCUUCUUCCGUAGGCUCUAUCAACUACUUAAAAUCGGUAUCCCUGGUGUAUUAUCACCAGAGUUUGGUUUUCUAUUCCUGGUGGCGACCGCCCUAAUUGGCAGGACUCUGUGUGACUUAUGGCUUAUCAACAAGGCUACUUUGUUAGAAACGUCAAUUGUCAACAUGAACCAUCUAUUAUUCAGACGAUAUUUGCUCCAUUUAUUUGGUAUGGUUCCAAUGAUAGCGAUCGUGAACAACAUAUUGAAAUAUGCUUUAAGCGAAAUGAAAUUAAGAUUGCGUACGAAUAUCACGCGUAAUUUAAUGGAUGAUUAUCUUAAAGGCUUUACCUAUUAUAAAAUGAGUAAUCUGGAUAGCCGAAUCGCGAAUCCGGAUCAGCUGUUAACUACAGAUAUCGAUAAAUUCUGUGAAAGCUGUACAGAUCUUUACAGUAAUAUUGCGAAGCCUCUAUUGGACAUUGGUCUUUACGUAUACAGAUUAACAGCUACUAUUGGCGGACAGACGCCACUUUUUAUACUCUCGUAUUUAGUGAUAGCUGGUACCUGCUUGACUCAUCUUCGCAAACCUAUCGGAACAAUGACGGUCAAAGAGCAACGAUUAGAAGGAGAAUAUCGUCAUAUCAAUUCAAGGUUAAUCGUUAACUCGGAAGAGAUAGCGUUUUAUGGAGGAAACAACAGGGAAAAAUUGACGCUGUUAACUAGCUUUCAUAAACUUGUGACUCAUCUUCGUAAAUUCUUGGAAUUUAAAGCCUUGAUGGGCGUUGUAGAUAAUUAUGUUGGAAAAUAUUUUGCCACCAUAGUCGGCUUCUACGCAGUGAGCAUACCUUUCUUCCAGGAGAAUCACUCUGUACUCUCCGGCACGCCCGAUCACAGAUUCAGAUUGUAUUACACGUACGGCCGGAUGCUGGUGAAAUUGGCUGAGGCGAUCGGCCGAUUGAUAGUGGCCGGCAGGGAAUUGACGCGUUUGGCGGGAUUCACAGCGCGGGUCACUGAGAUCAAACUGGUUCUUGACGAUUUAAACGCCGGGAAAUACGAGCGAACAAUGAUCUCAGAUUACAAAGACAAAGUGAUCGGUUAUCCUGGUAAAGGCAAAAUUGUACCACGCGACAACAUUAUACGGUUCGACAAUGUUCCCCUGAUGACGCCGAACGGAGACAUACUCAUCAAGGAGCUAUCCUUUGAAGUGAAAUCGGGAAUGAAUGUACUGAUUUGCGGUCCAAAUGGUUGCGGCAAGAGCUCUAUGUUUAGAAUUCUCGGCGAACUGUGGCCGAUUUGGUCUGGAACUAUUACAAAACCACCGCGUGGUAAGCUCUUUUACAUUCCGCAACGUCCUUACAUGACACUGGGUACAUUGAGAGACCAGAUCAUAUAUCCUCACACGAAGGAAGAGAUGAAAAGACGUGGUAACAUUAAUGAUGAGGACUUGAAAAAGUUUCUAGAGCUGGUACAAUUGACUCAUCUAUUGGACAGGGAGAAUCUCGUCAAUGAAAAAGAGGGUUGGGACGCAGUGGCUGAUUGGAUGGACGUCUUAUCAGGCGGCGAGAAGCAACGUAUAGCAAUGGCUCGACUAUUUUAUCACAAACCGCAAUUCGCAAUUCUGGACGAGUGCACGAGUGCUGUCAGUGUCGACGUCGAAGAUUCUAUGUACAGAUACUGCAGACAAGAGAACAUCACGCUAUUCACAGUCUCACAUCGUCGUUCCCUUUGGAAGCAUCACGAGUACUACUUACACAUGGAUGGCCGCGGAAGCUACGAGUUCAAACCGAUCGAGCAAGACACGAUAGAAUUCGGGUCGUGAAUUCUUGCAUUUCUGCACACGCGGAAAUGCGUUAGUACGCAAGAGAUAUCUAUUUAGUUUUCUUUUUCCUUUUAGUUUACGAUUAUUCAACAAUUCCAACAAUUUAAUAGACGACAUUUUAUCUGUUAAUCAGCAAUUUUUGAUGCCUUGAUACAGAAUGUACAUGUACUGUACAGAAUGUAUGUAUUAUACAAAUGGAAUAGUGAUAAACGGCGUUAUCGCGAUCAUUUUCAGCGCUAUCAUAAAUUUUUUCGCGUAGAUACAUAAUCAAAUCUGUCAUGCACAAAGAUAUAUUGCACAAAAGUAUAUUAUAUUUUUCGAUUAUUAUUUUUCUACAAGAUAAUAUAUUUUUGAUAAUGUCGUUGUCGAAGACACAUCGAGCUUGGAACGUAUGUGAUGUUAUCAUGUAUAUAUGAUACUUUUAGAUUUUCAGAUCCCUUAAGGCAUGGUGGAAGUAUAUUAAGUAUACUCGUUUUCAAGACGAAUUUCGUACCGUUCUGCGCAUAACCAGAUAUGGCCAUUUUAAACAUUUGCAUCGCGGUAACUUUGAAGUGACGCAAAAUAAUAUUUCGCGAAAAUGAGUAUGUGUCAAAUAAAAACGUG